rnacentral:lncRNA from 1 species
CGCCAAUUCAUCAGACCGUCUAGCGAGCACUCUGUUAUAUCUGGGGGUGACAAGGUUCCGGGCCACCACUACAGCGGUCAUGUCAUUUUUCAUCACCGAAUCCCUAACGGUGAGAGGACCAAUAGGGGAUAUGAAGGACGGCCGCCAUAUGUUGUCUGGAGAAGGAGGGGCUGCUCCUUCACCAAGUUUCAAGUCAAAACGACGGUCGGAAGGGCCAGACAUUUUUCAGAGGUGUUAAAGAAAUAGGAGAUCGGACAAGUCAAGAUCGUAAAAGUGCAAAACGGGAGUUUUUAUAGACAGAAAUUCAAGAGUGCUUUGAACGUCCUGCAUACCUCUAUAAAAAUCAGCACGCGAUGGGAUUUCAGAGAUUGAAGAGGUGAGCUCAGAAAUCGAAGAAGCCAUUCAGAGAUCGAAGAGGCGCCAGCUUUCUCAAAAGUUGGGCUUGCUCACAAACCACCAAUUCCAGAUA